rnacentral:ncRNA from 1 species
CUCUAAUAUCAAUUCGGAAUAUAUAUUUUAAGGAAUAUAUACAGUAAUAUAUUAGAUAUUAAAGAGACUUAUUCCAUCCGAUUUACUAAUACAGUAAAAAGGUAAAUAUGAAUCAAUAAAAUACAUAUUAGUAGAGCUAAAAACUAGAAAAUAUGUGAUUUAU